AGCAAUUCUUGAUGAAUACUACAGAGUCCUUGAUCAGGUAAUGGCAUCAGAAGCUGCAGCUAUAUAUUCUAGUUAGUAAACCCUAAACCUAUUUAAUGACUGGACUUAUAAUAUUUAUAUUGUACUGAGUAUUGACUUUAUGGAUUAGGAUGUCAUCCAUCAAAGUUUGAGAAGGUUUCAUGACCAGCUCUCAACUUGACAUCUAUGCUUUCAUUUGGCAUUCACUUCUUGAUCAAGGCAACUCCAGGUAAGAAAGCACCUGCAAUUAACCUAGAAGGACAAUUGGUGGAUAGAAAAAAGGUCUGCAUUCUUGGUAUCAGACUGUGUACCAGCAGAAGACCAGUAAGAUAUG
rnacentral:lncRNA from 1 species